CACAGUGUAGCGUAGAGGUUAAGGCGCAGGACUUAUAACCAAAAGAUUGAUGGUUCAAUUCCCCGCUGGGA